UAGUGGCUGGGAGCAGCAGGGUUCUGGGAGAUUGUAAGAGAACGCCUUAAUGAGCUGAAGGCCUCCUCGGCUGGAAACAAAUGUAUGUAAAUGAGAUGCACAACCCAAAAAGGAUGGUGGUCCAAGAAGAGAAGACGAACUGCAACUGACUGAGUGAGAAGGAUGAGUUCUCUCUCUUGCUCUCACAUCUGAGAACUGUUGGAGGACAAAACAGCUCGAGUCGCCUCACUUCCAAACAAAGCAUCUCAACCUGCCCUCUGUUACAAAAACAUGGAUGGAAACAAAACUUUAAUCUCUGUUGCUCAUCUGAGUUCAUGUAGAGAGUCUGCGCACUCUUCCGCUGGCCUCUCCAACUUCCAUUUAAAGGCAUGUGUGAAUACUAGGCUUUGCUGGUCAUUCUUUACAAGGACAUUAUCAAAGUGACAGACUCAGCUGCCAUUUGUUUUCCUCUCUAAUCCACUGUACUCGUCUCCCAGGAUGCUGAACUGAGUUAGGCACACCUUUAAGAGAUCCAAGCUACAUAUGUGAUAUCAUCUAACUGUGCAAAAGUGAAAAAAACUUUAAAAAAUCUUACUAAAACAACAAUAUGUACAUCCAAGAAACUGGUGAAAAAGACCACUGAGAUUAAAAAUCUAGAUGGAUGAGUGACCAAGAUGGAAGCAAAUGACAAACAGCAAUAUUUAAAACAGACAACAAAGCCAAUUAAAUACAAUUUAAUUGAUGUUUACAUUUGCACUCUCAACCUACACCAUUACACAACUUACAUGGGUAUUGUUUAUUGUACAUUGUAUUGUAUACUGUAUUAUAAUGCAUACUGUGUAUAUUGUGUUGUAUUGGACAUCUUGUAUGUUGGUUUGUAUACCAUAUAUUGUAUUGUUUUGUUUAUUGUAUGUAUUAUGUUGUGUGUUCUUGUAGCAAACCACCAAGUCAAAUUCCUCAUUAAUGCAACUUACUUGGCCAAUAAAUGUGAAUUCUGAUUCUGAUUAAGGAAAAUUAUCAUUAUAAAUAAUAAAUAAAUACAUAUUUUUAUAACCCAAACACAUAAUAAUAAUAAUAAUAAUAAUAAUAAUAACCAUGAAUACUGCAUAAAUAAAUAAAUACAUUUUAAUAACCCAAACACAUUAAAUUGGAUGAAUUUUUAUAAACUUGAAAUAACAGAUGCUACUUCAUAGAAAGCAUCAACUAUUCUAGAUACUUAGGCUCUUUAAGUCAUUUUAAGAACAAAAGCAAAUUAUUUACUACAAGUUGCAAUUUUUAUGGUAUCAUGCAGAUGUUCAGCCUGAUCUCAAGAAAUUUACGUGACCAUGGCAACAUUUUUGAAAACCAAAACUAGGUUGCAGAUGUUCAUUUGGGAGCAAGUGAGGCCUCAUCUUUUAAUUUGUACUUAAUUCACAAAAUUAUCUUUCAAGAAUUUUUGUAAAUGUGCCCAUUGCUCAUAUCUUAUAAAACAAUAUUAUUAUCUGCUGAUUUUACAUACAUUAAUGUACAUUUGCACUGAGAAUAUCUGCCUAAAUUUCCUUUCAGAUCAUUAAUUUUUAUAUAAAUCACACAUUUGACUUCUGCGAGAGUAUGGAUAUGUGUUCAUUACAGUAUCAAAAAUGUAUGUUUCUGUAUGGGAUAAGAAUCUACAACAUCUGUGGUCACAUGAACAAUAAACAAUAGAGGUUUUCUUAAGAGAAAAACAAACAUGCUCUCACACAUGCAUCUCUAGCAUGUUUUUUUCCAGCUCUUGAAAUUCAGCAUGUCAUAAAUCUGCCCCUCUGAAUACGCCUGGCAUGUUUUAAGGUUUCUGUGUCCAUAAUACCAUAGAACAUAAGCACACUGCAGUUGAUUGGUAGACAUAAACAUUGACUGCAGCCUGGACACAGUUUAGCACCCAGCUACAAUUCAUUGGUAAACUAAACUGCUGCUGUAAGUGAAAAAAUCAAGGUCUCUUGUCCCAAGAGUGGGCAUGGACUACACCAUAAUAGAGGGGGAGAGAAAAAGGGAGAGAAAAUGCAAUGGAUAAUGCUCAAAAGGUUUCACUGAGAACAUAAAAACUAUUAAUUACUGCGGCCACAAACAAAAAAUAUUUUGACACUUAAAGGAAUACACCAGGUUAAAUACAAGUUAAAACGAAUUUACAUGACUUUUAACAGAAGUUAGUGCUUUUAUAAAUGUAUUUGCUUCAAAUUUCUGUGUUUAAAGACACCCAAAAAUUGGCCCCAUUCGCUUCCAUUUAAAGUGUCUUACUGUAACUUUGAAUUUAUUUAUUAAUUUAUUUUAAAGAAAACAAGAAACAAGUCGAAAUUAUUUUUUGUGGUAAUCAACAUUGUGCCACAAAUACUGUCGUCUGAGCUUACUUGUAUUGAUCCCGAUAUAUUUCUUUAAGUUAGACUCAAAAAUGUAUGAAUUUUAUUGCAUUAGAUAAUAAAAUAUCAGUCCAAAUGGCUUGAUCUAGACCUACUAACUGCUCUCUUAAUCAAGGUGAUUUUUAGAGGAAGUAUAAAGUCAAUUUCCUUUAAGUUCACGCAGGUGUCCUAGCAGAGCAACCACAGGUUUUUGUUCAUCACAUUCACUAUGAACAUGUUAUGCUAAUGUUUGACAACCUGCAAGUGUCCAAAUACUUUUUGUCUUUAUUUUGAACAUUAUAUUGCUCUAUAAUUAUAAACCUAAUAAACUUAUUUUUGUGAAA